rnacentral:rRNA from 1 species
GACGAACGCUGACGGCGUGCUUAACACAUGCAAGUCGAACGGAAAGGCCCUGCUUUUGUGGGGUGCUCGAGUGGCGAACGGGUGAGUAACACGUGAGUAACCUGCCCUUGACUUUGGGAUAACUUCAGGAAACUGGGGCUAAUACCGGAUAGGAGCUCCUGCUGCAUGGUGGGGGUUGGAAAGUUUCGGCGGUUGGGGAUGGACUCGCGGCUUAUCAGCUUGUUGGUGGGGUAGUGGCUUACCAAGGCUUUGACGGGUAGCCGGCCUGAGAGGGUGACCGGCCACAUUGGGACUGAGAUACGGCCCAGACUCCUACGGGAGGCAGCAGUGGGGAAUAUUGCACAAUGGGCGGAAGCCUGAUGCAGCAACGCCGCGUGCGGGAUGACGGCCUUCGGGUUGUAAACCGCUUUCGCCUGUGACGAAGCGUGAGUGACGGUAAUGGGUAAAGAAGCACCGGCUAACUACGUGCCAGCAGCCGCGGUGAUACGUAGGGUGCGAGCGUUGUCCGGAUUUAUUGGGCGUAAAGGGCUCGUAGGUGGUUGAUCGCGUCGGAAGUGUAAUCUUGGGGCUUAACCCUGAGCGUGCUUUCGAUACGGGUUGACUUGAGGAAGGUAGGGGAGAAUGGGAUUCCUGGUGGAGCGGUGGAAUGCGCAGAUAUCAGGAGGAACACCAGUGGCGAAGGCGGUUCUCUGGGCCUUUCCUGACGCUGAGGAGCGAAAGCGUGGGGAGCGAACAGGCUUAGAUACCCUGGUAGUCCACGCUGUAAACGGUGGGUACUAGGUGUGGGGUCCAUUCCACGGGUUCCGUGCCGUAGCUAACGCUUUAAGUACCCCGCCUGGGGAGUACGGCCGCAAGGCUAAAACUCAAAGGAAUUGACGGGGCCCCGCACAAGCGGCGGAGCAUGCGGAUUAAUUCGAUGCAACGCGUAGAACCUUACCUGGGUUUGACAUGGAUCGGGAGUGCUCAGAGAUGGGUGUGCCUCUUUUGGGGUCGGUUCACAGGUGGUGCAUGGCUGUCGUCAGCUCGUGUCGUGAGAUGUUGGGUUUAGUCCCGCAACGAGCGCAACCCUUGUUCACUGUUGCCAGCACGUUAUGGUGGGGACUCAGUGGAGACCGCCGGGGUCAACUCGGAGGAAGGUGGGGAUGACGUCAAGUCAUCAUGCCCCUUAUGUCCAGGGCUUCACGCAUGCUACAAUGGCUGGUACAGAGAGUGGCGAGCCUGUGAGGGUGAGCGAAUCUCGGAAAGCCGGUCUCAGUUCGGAUUGGGGUCUGCAACUCGACCUCAUGGAGUCGGGGUCGCUAGUAAUCGCAGAUCAGCAACGCUGCGGUGAAAACGUUCCCGGGGCU